UGGUGAUAGACUAUUGGCUGAAGCAGAAACAAACUUAGCCAUAAAUGUAAUCCUUAGUUUAGCAUAAUCAUAUGAGGUUCAAGGAAGAGGAGAACUUCAAUUAGGCAUCUUGCUUGAGAAUAUGAGGCGUGAAAAUUUUGAGCUUUCUGUAUCCCCUCCAAGAGUUAUGUACAAGAUUGAGAAAGGUGUGAAGCUAGAGCCAAUUGAAGAAGUAACCAUUGAGGUAAAAAAAAA